AGAGUUGAUCAUGGCUCAGGACGAACGCUGGCGGCGUGCUUCAUACAUGCAAGUCGAACGAGAAUUCACCUUCGGGUGGAAGAAAGUGGCGGACGGGUGAGUAAUGUGUAGAGAAUCUGCCCUAGAGUGGGGGACAACAGCUGGAAACGGCUGCUAAUACCGCAUAUGCGCGUAGCUGAGAUGCUAUUCGUGAAAACUCCGGUGCUCUGGGAUGAGUCUGCAUCUGAUUAGCUAGUUGGGGGUGUAAUGGACCACCAAGGCGACGAUCAGUAGCUGGUUUGAGAGGAUGAUCAGCCACAAUGGGACUGAGACACGGCCCAUACUCCUACGGGAGGCAGCAGUAGGGAAUUUUGCGCAAUGGGGGGAACCCUGACGCAAGCAACGCCGCGUGAUUGAAUAAGCCCUUCGGGGUGUAAAGAUCUGUCAGUGGGGACGAAACUUGACGGUACCCACAGAGGAAGCAUCGGCUAACUCCGUGCCAGCAGCAGC
rnacentral:rRNA from 1 species